rnacentral:rRNA from 1 species
GAUGAACGCUAGCGAUAGGCUUAACACAUGCAAGUCGAGGGGCAGCAUGGUCUUAGCUUGCUAAGACUGAUGGCGACCGGCGCACGGGUGCGUAACGCGUAUGCAACUUGCCUCACAGAGGGGGAUAACCCGUCGAAAGACGGACUAAUACCGCGUACACUCCAUCUUGGGCAUCCAAGGUAGAGGAAAUGAAAUUCGCUGUGAGAUAGGCAUGCGUCCCAUUAGCUAGUUGGUGAGGUAACGGCUCACCAAGGCGACGAUGGGUAGGGGAACUGAGAGGUUGAACCCCCACACUGGUACUGAGACACGGACCAGACUACUACGGGAGGCAGCAGUGAGGAAGAUUGGUCAAUGGGCGAGAGCCUGAACCAGCCAAGUCGCGUGAGGGAUGACUGUCUUAUGGAUUGUAAACUUCUUUUAUACGGGAAUAACAAGAGUCACGUGUGACUCCCUGCAUGUACCGUAUGAAUAAGCAUCGGCUAACUCCGUG